GAUGAACGCUGGCGGCGUGCCUAAUACAUGCAAGUCGAGCGAACAGACGAGGAGCUUGCUCCUCUGACGUUAGCGGCGGACGGGUGAGUAACACGUGGAUAACCUACCUAUAAGACUGGGAUAACUUCGGGAAACCGGAGCUAAUACCGGAUAACAUGUUGAACCGCAUGGUUCAACAGUGAAAGACGGUUUUGCUGUCACUUAUAGAUGGAUCCGCGUCGCAUUAGCUAGUUGGUAAGGUAACGGCUUACCAAGGCAACGAUGCGUAGCCGACCUGAGAGGGUGAUCGGCCACACUGGAACUGAGACACGGUCCAGACUCCUACGGGAGGCAGCAGUAGGGAAUCUUCCGCAAUGGGCGAAAGCCUGACGGAGCAACGCCGCGUGAGUGAAGAAGGUCUUCGGAUCGUAAAGCUCUGUUAUUAGGGAAGAACAAAUGUGUAAGUACCUAUGCACGUCUUGACGGUACCUAAUCAGAAAGCCACGGCUAACUACGUG
rnacentral:rRNA from 1 species